CAUCGUCUUAUAGUACCAAGCCAUAACUGCAUGGUCUUUGAAAUUAGAGAAGAAGAGAAAAAAACAAUUCAAGUAUUGGGUGCCAACACAAUAAUUAAAUUACAUAUCAUAGAAUAUUUUACUACCUCCGGUCCUAUUUAUAAGAGAAUUUUGGGUCAACAAAAGUUGAUGUAUCUAGUUAAAAAUUCAGUCCAAAUACAUUCACUUUUGUUGACCUAAAUUUCUCUUAUAAAUAGGACCAGAGGUAGUAUCAUAAAUGAUAUUUAUUAGUAUUUUUUUUUUCUAGUUCUAGAAGUAAUUGCUCUCUGUAGAGCCUUUUUGUAUUCUAUUUGGUCUUGUACUCCAACGAUUACCAGAACCAUUGGAAUUACCACAUAGACAUUUGUAUUUAAUACACCGAGGAACCCUAGGAAGCACACACUUAGUUGUUGCUUGACAUGCAGAAUCAUUAGAACAUUCAUAGUACGCUGUAAUGAGGAAAAAGGGAAAAAGAAUGUUACAAAUUAAAGGGGAUAGAAGAUUACAUAAGAAGUAAAGAAUACAAUUUCACGUAAUGAAAAAUUUCUUACCCCCCUUUGUAACAAGAAAUAGGGACAAAAAGUAUAUCAUAACAUAAACA
rnacentral:lncRNA from 1 species